rnacentral:rRNA from 1 species
CACGUAGGGCGCAAGCGUUGUCCGGAAUUAUUGGGCGUAAAGAGCUCGUAGGCGGUGUGUCACGUCGUUCGUGAAAACCUGCAGCUUAACUGUGGGCGUGCGGUCGAUACGGGCAUCACUGGAGUUCGGCAGGGGAGACUGGAAUUCCUGGUGUAGCGGUGAAAUGCGCAGAUAUCAGGAGGAACACCGGUGGCGAAGGCGGGUCUCUGGGCCGAUACUGACGCUGAGGAGCGAAAGCGUGGGUAGCAAACAGG